rnacentral:rRNA from 1 species
GACGUAGGGCGCGAGCGUUGUCCGGAUUUAUUGGGCGUAAAGAGCUCGUAGGCGGCUCGUUGCGUCGGCUGUGAAAACCCGCAGCUCAACUGUGGGCUUGCAGCUGAUACGGGCGGGCUGGGAUUCGGUAGGGGAGACUGGAAUUCCUGGUGUAGCGGUGAAAUGCGCAGAUAUCAGGAGGAACACCGGUGGCGAAGGCGGGUCUCUGGGCCGAUAUCGACGCUGAGGAGCGAAAGCGUGGGGAGCAAACGGG